CAGUCGCCACGGUAAUACGUAGGUCCCGAGCGUUGUCCGGAUUUAUUGGGCGUAAAGGGAGCGCAGGCGGUUUAGUAAGUCUGAAGUUAAAGGCAUUGGCUCAACCAAUGUAUGCUUUGGAAACUGUUAGACUUGAGUGCAGAAGGGGAGAGUGGAAUUCCAUGUGUAGCGGUGAAAUGCGUAGAUAUAUGGAGGAACACCGGUGGCGAAAGCGGCUCUCUGGUCUGUCACUGACACUGAGAGACGAAAGCUAGGGGAGCAAAUGGGAUUAGAUACCCCCGUAGUCCCUGUCUCUUAUACA
rnacentral:rRNA from 1 species